AAAAUUUCAUAGGGAACUUCUAGGAAAAUGGAAAACUGAAGAGUUUUUUAUGGCACGACCAUUUACAUGUUUUUCCUCAAAGAUUAAGUGAUACAAGCCAACUACCUUACGAACUGGGAAUUUUACCAGUGAACAGAUGAACCAUAAGCAUCAUCAAAAACAACGAUGAUCAUCAUAAAAGUUCCUUGCGAAUUGAGAGUUGAA
rnacentral:lncRNA from 1 species